UACGUAGGGGGCAAGCGUUGUCCGGAAUCAUUGGGCGUAAAGCGCGUGUAGGCGGUCCGGUAAGUCGGCUGUGAAAGUCCAGGGCUCAACCCUGGGAUGCCGGUCGAUACUGCCGGACUAGAGUUCGGAAGAGGCGAGUGGAAUUCCCGGUGUAGCGGUGAAAUGCGCAGAUAUCGGGAGGAACACCAAUGGCGAAGGCAGCUCGCUGGGACGUUACUGACGCUGAGACGCGAAAGCGUGGGGAGCAAAC
rnacentral:rRNA from 1 species